GGACUGAGAUGGCCUCGGAGCUGGCCAUGAGCGCGGAGCUGCCCACGAGCCCCCUCGCCAUCGAGUACGUGAACGAUUUCGACCUGAUGAAGUUCGAGGUGAAGAAGGAGCCGGCGGAGGCGGAGCGGCUGUGCCACCGCCUGCCCGCCGGCUCCCUGUCGUCCACCCCGCUCAGCACGCCCUGCUCCUCCGUGCCUUCCUCGCCCAGCUUCUGCGCUCCCAGCCCCGGUGGGCAACCGGCCCCCGGCCCCCCGGCUGCCACCGCCGCUUCCCUGGGCUCCAAACAGCAGCUGGAGGAGCUGUACUGGAUGUCGGGUUACCAGCAUCACCUCAACCCCGAAGCUCUCAACCUGACGCCGGAGGACGCGGUGGAGGCGUUGAUCGGUGCCCCUCACCAUCAUCAUCAUCACCACCAAGGGUACGAGCCCUUCCGACCUCAGCCCUUCGGGGGCGAGGAGCUGCCGCCGGCCGCCCAUCACCAUCCCGGCCAUCACCAUCAUCAUCAUCACCACCUACGCCUGGAGGACCGGUUCUCCGACGAUCAGCUGGUGAGUAUGUCCGUGCGGGAGCUGAACCGGCAGCUGCGGGGCUUCAGCAAGGAGGAGGUGAUCCGCCUCAAGCAGAAGAGGAGGACCUUGAAGAACCGGGGCUACGCUCAAUCCUGCCGCUACAAGCGGGUCCAGCAACGGCACAUCCUGGAGAACGAGAAAUGCCAACUGCAGAGCCAGGUGGAGCAGCUCAAGCAGGAGGUGACCCGCUUGGCCAAGGAAAGGGAUCUGUACAAAGAAAAAUAUGAGAAGUUGGCCGGCCGGGGCUUCCCGAGGGAGCCCUCCCCAUCUGCCGCCCCGAAAGCCACCGCUGACUUCUUCAUGUGAGCCGGGCUGGUGGGAUGGGGUGGGAUCCCCUUUUUUUUUUUUUUUUUUUUUUUCCUCAGCCGGGGAGAGCAAACCCGCCGCUUAUAUUUAAAAAGAAAAAAAAAUGGGGAAAAAAUAUUAUGAAGUCCCCACUGAAAUUUAGUGGAGGGGAAGUUGAACUCCCUACCUCCCACCCAUCGGGACUCGGGGUGGGGGGUCCCGGGGUGGGGGAGUGGGGGGCAGCCCUGCAUGCGGGACGUGUACGGCCACCCGCCCCCCUUCCCGGGAGCGCCAUCCAGGUGGCUUCUCCCCACCUUUUCCUGCGGGUUUUCCCCUCCAUUGGGAUUUUUAUUCUUCGAGGGAUCCCCACGGAUCGGCCGGGGGGGUCCCCGGCAGCGCUGCGCCCUGCCCGGCCCCUCCGCCCACCCCCCAUUCCCGGCCGGCAAACCUGAGCCACAUUUAACUUAUUCACUCUUGUAAAUAUGUAGAAAAUUAGUUCGUUUUUUGCCUUUUUUUUUUUUUUCCUUGAGCCUAUAUCUUGCUUGGUAAUUUACGAGAAAAAGAAAACGAACAAAAAAAAGAAAAACCAACAAAAAAACCCUAAAAUCCUUUAGAAAAGAGAAAAAAAAUUACACGAGUCUUAAAAGUUUGUAUGUAAUAGCAUGCAAAUAAUAUCCGAGUUAAUUUAACGAUGUUGGGAAGAAGCCGAAUGCACUAUAUACAGGAAUCGAUUGGGUGAAAUAAUACUGUUUUAUAGAGAUUUAAAAUUAUCUAUGCUCUUAAAAAUAGUGGGGAGGGGCGGGAGGGGAAGAGGUAACAAUUUUAGGGUGACCUGAAAGGCAAUAUAGUAAUAUAUGGACUGCAAACGGUUGGCUGCUAUCUCACUAUGCACCAGAUUUAUUUAUUAACCCUCGGGAAACGGAAAAUCUUAUUUUAACCUCGAUGUUUGGAGAAAAAGAAAAAAAAAACAGACGUCAAGAAAAUGCACAUUAUUUGUUGUGGAAACAAGAGGAAAAAAAAGGAUUAAGAAUUCGUGCAAUCGUUGGAGCGAAAGCGGGACCGAUCCUGCGCGGAGGAGCGGGACGGCCGGGUUCUGGGUGGUUUUGAUUUUCUUUCCCGGCUGGAGGGUCCUGGAGACCUUCAUCCCUGCAGCUGCUGGAAAGUCACCGGGUCCAGUUUGGUUCCAGCUUGUCCGACACCGUCCUGAUGAGCCGCUGGCUUGAUUUUCAAUGGUAAUAAAUUAUUUUUCUUUCCUCUUUUGGCUUCUCCCUCUUGAAUUUUUAAUUUAAAAAGGACCCCUUAACAAACCAAGCCCACACCUUCCCUAAUCCAAGCUUUUGGGCUGGUAUUUUACUGAGAUUUUGUGGGUUUUUGGGACUGUUUUUAAGGAUAUUUCUCCCUUUGCCGCAAACCCCAAGCGCGGCUGCAUCUUUUCCCGGACUCAACGGGACAAAUUCCAGCACAACCCUUGGUACAACGUAUUUUUUUGGCAUUUUAUGUGCUUUUUAAAUAUUUAGGUGUAUUUUCUGUCCUAUAUUUUUGCCCAGGCUCAACCGUGGCAGGUCCCCAAGCUGUGGCGUAUUCCCUCCUGCCGCUUCCAUAAAUCUUCUCCAUGCUCAUGUAACCCCCUGGCUUUUCCUUGGAUUUGUGGGGUGCCUGCAACUCCACAACCCUCUGGUCUUGCCUUUUCUGCACCCCCAAACCUCAAUCCCCUUUUUCUUCAUCUUUUUCUGGCUUUUUGGUGUCUUCUUUUGUGACCAGAGGAUUUUUGAGCAGCCUGAGCUUGGCUCAAUAUCAGACUUGGAUUUUGGGAUGGGAGCUGGAAUGCAAAGAGGGAUAUUUGUCCCAGGGCUGGACAAAAGGGGGGUUUGGAAGGUGGGGGAUUCACCCCUUAUUCCUGUAUUUAUUUAGAUCCAGGGAAACUUUGAAAACCUGGCUCUAAAUAAAAUUAAUCCGUGCAGCCGCUCGCGGGACAUCGCGUCCCCGAAUUUUUUGGAGGUGAAUCACAGCUUCCUGGUGGGUUAUUCCCUAAUUUUCCUCCCAAUAUCCCUUUCUCUUGGCAUAUAUUUCUGGGGGAAGAACACAUCCAGCUGCCUGGUCAUGAUCAAAUAAGAAUUUGGGGAGGAAAAGGAAUUUGGGGCUGGUACCUUCCCCAAACCAGGCUGGGGGAUCUCAGUCCCCGCUGUCUUAAAUCCUCACUCCUGGAUCUUUCCGUGAUCCCCAUUCCCUGUGGGCACAUCCUGGGGGUCAUUGCCCCUUUUCCCAGCUGGGCUGGGGCUGGUUGGGAAAGCAGAGCUGACUUUGGGAUCUGUGUGGGGUUUUGUGGGAGCGCUGUCCCAUGGGGUGUUGCUCAGGACACAGCGUGUUGUCCGUGAGGUGACCGCGAUCGUCUCCUGCUCCGGAAUCCUUUCCCCGCUUCUAUGGCCGAGCAAAGGCAGCAAUUUCGGAUUCCCAAUUUUCCCCUUGCCCUCUCCUUUUGGUUUUAUUUUGGGGUCCAACGACCUGGGAAAGAUCCCAGAUUAUUUUGGCAGUCCAGGUAUCAUCCCUUCCUCUUUAUCCCGAAGGGAUCCCCAAUUCCGUGCGCCACCGUGAUUUAUUUUUUUAGGUCCCCACUGAUUUUUUUUUCCCCCAACCCUCCUUGAAAUCCCCUAACAGGUGGAACAGGACACAGGGUGUUGCUGCCACCCAUUAAUGUUGGUUCUCCAUGGGGGAUCCCACCCCACAGUUUUUUGGGGAGAUUUGAGGGUGGAAUCGCACCCUUCUGCCCCAUCAUCCUGACCUUCUCCAUGCUCCUGAAGCUCCCGGCUUUCUGGGAUUUGGC